UUGAACGCUGGCGGCAUGCCUUACACAUGCAAGUCGAACGGCAGCACGGAGCUUGCUCUGGUGGCGAGUGGCGAACGGGUGAGUAAUAUAUCGGAACGUACCCUGGAGUGGGGGAUAACGUAGCGAAAGUUACGCUAAUACCGCAUACGAUCUACGGAUGAAAGUGGGGGAUCGCAAGACCUCAUGCUCGUGGAGCGGCCGAUAUCUGAUUAGCUAGUUGGUAGGGUAAAAGCCUACCAAGGCAUCGAUCAGUAGCUGGUCUGAGAGGACGACCAGCCACACUGGAACUGAGACACGGUCCAGACUCCUACGGGAGGCAGCAGUGGGGAAUUUUGGACAAUGGGCGAAAGCCUGAUCCAGCAAUGCCGCGUGAGUGAAGAAGGCCUUCGGGUUGUAAAGCUCUUUUGUCAGGGAAGAAACGGUGAGGGCUAAUAUCCCUUGCUAAUGACGGUACCUGAAGAAUAAGCACCGGCUAACUACGUGCCAGCAGCCGCGGUAAUACGUAGGGUGCAAGCGUUAAUCGGAAUUACUGGGCGUAAAGCGUGCGCAGGCGGUUUUGUAAGUCUGAUGUGAAAUCCCCGGGCUCAACCUGGGAAUUGCAUUGGAGACUGCAAGGCUAGAAUCUGGCAGAGGGGGGUAGAAUUCCACGUGUAGCAGUGAAAUGCGUAGAUAUGUGGAGGAACACCGAUGGCGAAGGCAGCCCCCUGGGUCAAGAUUGACGCUCAUGCACGAAAGCGUGGGGAGCAAACAGGAUUAGAUACCCUGGUAGUCCACGCCCUAAACGAUGUCUACUAGUUGUCGGGUCUUAAUUGACUUGGUAACGCAGCUAACGCGUGAAGUAGACCGCCUGGGGAGUACGGUCGCAAGAUUAAAACUCAAAGGAAUUGACGGGGACCCGCACAAGCGGUGGAUGAUGUGGAUUAAUUCGAUGCAACGCGAAAAACCUUACCUACCCUUGACAUGGCUGGAAUCCCCGAGAGAUCGGGGAGUGCUCGAAAGAGAACCAGUACACAGGUGCUGCAUGGCUGUCGUCAGCUCGUGUCGUGAGAUGUUGGGUUAAGUCCCGCAACGAGCGCAACCCUUGUCAUUAGUUGCUACGAAAGGGCACUCUAAUGAGACUGCCGGUGACAAACCGGAGGAAGGUGGGGAUGACGUCAAGUCCUCAUGGCCCUUAUGGGUAGGGCUUCACACGUCAUACAAUGGUACAUACAGAGCGCCGCCAACCCGCGAGGGGGAGCUAAUCGCAGAAAGUGUAUCGUAGUCCGGAUUGUAGUCUGCAACUCGACUGCAUGAAGUUGGAAUCGCUAGUAAUCGCGGAUCAGCAUGUCGCGGUGAAUACGUUCCCGGGUCUU
rnacentral:rRNA from 1 species